rnacentral:rRNA from 1 species
GAUGAACGCUGGCGGCGUGCCUAAUACAUGCAAGUCGAGCGAACGGACGAGAAGCUUGCUUCUCUGAUGUUAGCGGCGGACGGGUGAGUAACACGUGGAUAACCUACCUAUAAGACUGGGAUAACUUCGGGAAACCGGAGCUAAUACCGGAUGAUAUUUUGAACCGCAUGGUUCAAAAGUGAAAGACGGUCUUGCUGUCACUUAUAGAUGGAUCCGCGCUGCAUUAGCUAGUUGGUAAGGUAACGGCUUACCAAGGCAACGAUGCAUAGCCGACCUGAGAGGGUGAUCGGCCACACUGGAACUGAGACACGGUCCAGACUCCUACGGGAGGCAGCAGUAGGGAAUCUUCCGCAAUGGGCGAAAGCCUGACGGAGCAACGCCGCGUGAGUGAUGAAGGUCUUCGGAUCGUAAAACUCCGUUAUUAGGGAAGAACAUAUGUGUAAGUAACUGCGCACAUCUUGACGGUACCUAAUCAGAAAGCCACGGCUAACUACGUG